rnacentral:misc_RNA from 1 species
CGUGAAUCUCGCCGCCCGGCCACGCGAAUUCGAGUAAGUUUUCCGGCGACCGCGACCCUGCGGUCAACGGAUCGCGGAAACGGCCGCCCGACCAGUGCGCGACGACGGUGAGUACCCGGCCGGGGUUGAUCGCACAUCACGCGGGAUGCGUUUUUCGGACCGACCAAACGAUAUUCUUGUCGUUCCAGCAAAAAACGGACGCCGUGCGCGGGUGGGGGCGGCGGUGGUGGCGGAGGAGGCGACAACGCGAAAAAAUCUGCCCCCGCCAUAACGUGGCCGUCCGGUGUUCAUUGUUUGGGCUCCCCGGCGAAUGGCGUUCGUAUGUCACCGCCGCCGCCCGUGCAACAGCGCCAAACGUCGUUUUGAAAAACAUGCGGCCUGUUGGCGGUCAUCAGUUUCAAGCCGGUACUCACUGCAGUCAGACCCCCGUCCGUCCGCCAUUGAUUCGUGUCCGUCCGCUCGUUUACGUUCUCGCUCGUUUUCGUUUUACUUGGGUCCCCCGGAAAAUAAUUCAAAACCAUCGACAAGUGUCUCGACGAGUGUACAUCCGAUUGCCCCUCACCGUCGUCGUUCCGUCUCGUAAUGGCCAAACGCGUUCAAAUCCGUCGGACCAACCGAGAAACGUCCACUGUCGGAAUCGUCACGUUCGCCGCUGGAAUCGCCAUGGCAUUCGUCUUGGCCGUCGUCGUCAUCACUGCCAUCCGCCGCGCGAUCUUACCGGGUACGCGUAAUAUGAUGUGAUUCUUCGUGAUUCGUGUAACUUACUCAGAUCACUCACCUAUUUGCUCACACUCUCGCUCCGCUCAAAGACAUUUAUUACCUUCGAUCUUUUCACUCAUCCGCAUUAUUGUCGAUCAAACGGUGUUAGUUUGUUUUCUUUCGAAUACAGCGGUGUAACGGGAAUCCAACGCAUCCGGCAGACGGACGUGUGUUACCGAACUGUGUGUUGUCAGCGCACACCCAAUCGUAACUGAACGACUGCUCCAAGUACCUACUGAAUUCCAAUAUACUCAUUGGGUAUAGGUACCUACUUAUGCAUGCACGUACCUACUACAUAUGCUCAAAAGGAUCUGACAAGAAGUGACGGGCUUAUAGAAUUAUUUAAUUUACUCCAGAUUACUAAUUCAAUAUGAUGGAUUUGUCUAUAAAUAAUCAUAACAGUAAAAAUGAAGAACUUAAUCACAAUAUUGAUUUUCCAUCAAGGACUGCUUCGGAUUCAUUAGCAAUAAACAACAGACCAAAACUCAGUACCAUAAAAACAGUUCAACAAAUACGUCCUUUUAAUUAUCUUUUCCAACCAGUGGAUCCUCAUCAAUUCUCAUCUCACAAUAAUAAUGGAAUUUGUGUUAAAGUCAUUGAGUAUGUUUUAGAAACUGAAAAGAGAAGACUUACUGACCAAAUUUCUGAAAACACACACGGUGCUAAUUUUUCUGAGUGCAGCAUUGAUAAAUAUGCUCCUGUUAACUAUGGUACUAUUACUAAAAACAAUCAAAUCAGUAUACCCAGUGGACCAAAUAUUCAACAUACACCUGAAACAAGACCAUCUAUAAUAAUAACAAAUAAUGGAGCAAAAAGAAAAUGUAUACCAAGUGUACCAACUAGCAAACUUACACCCGAAAACAUGGCUAUGUUAAAAAAAUCAGGAAGAAUAUAUAAAAUCAAUAAAACUAGUGAACCAGUAGAAUCAAUGUCUAAUAACGAACAAAAUGGUUUUCCUCAGACUUCUAAUUCGAACAGUGAAAAUUAUACCUCCAGUUUCGCAAAAUAUAUGCCCAAAACACAUGAUACACAAUUAAUGCCAAAUCCAAGACAAUUUGAAAAUCGGGAAGAAACUGAAAUUGUUAAUCAUCCUACUUAUGAUACACCAAUGGUUUCUUCAUUUCAAUUUACUAAUGAAGCCGAAAAUCAUUAUUUUACAUUUCAAGAAGCUUCGGAGUCAAUACCACCUGCGUAUAGAAUGUGCAAUCCAUCAUCUCAUAAUUUACCAUUAACUCAAUUCUCACCUAUUGGAAAUUCCAUAAAACCAGGUAUACCAAAAUUGUCAGCUCAUGAAGUUGUAGAUGAACAUGGUAUUUGUCCUGUAAUAUUACAUCCUAAUAAGCAAUUGAGUUCACAAGUUCAGAUGAAAAGUGAUGCACUUAUAAAAACGAUUGGAUUUGCACCUGCACGAUCUCAAAUGACAGCUCAAGCGCAAAGCCGUAUUGUUACAACAUCAUUGCAACGUUCUAUUAUGGAAUCUCAAAAUGUUUCCCCACUUAUAAUAACACCUUCAUCGCAUGUUAUUCACUCGGCUAAUGAAAUUGUUCCUGCUAAAAUUGUUCCAAUACCAUCAGCGCCUGCUGUAUCACAUUUUUCUGUAAUAAAUAAGACAGGUUCUUAUGAUAAUAUACCGGAAUAUACGGGUAUACGACAAAGUUUGGUGUCUGGCACACCACCAGUUUAUACUCAGAGUGAUUUUGCUCGUUUUCCUCCAAAAAGUUACCACCAUAAAAAUGCUGUUGUUAAUCCUGCAGUUAUUCAUGGUCCAAUUCCUGGAAAUAUUGAUGAGCCAUGUAUAAAUAUACCCAAUAGUCAACAUGUAUUUAAACCAAUUAUUUCACCUAGGCCUAGUAUUUUAAGGAAGCGUGAUGCAGAUGGUGUACUUAGAGCUCAAAAAAAUCUAAUACCAAUUUUAACCAAACCAGACAUUGAAGAAUGUCAUAAUAUGGACGAUACAUCACUAAACAGAAAUGGAUAUAGUGAAAGUGGUUUACAAAUAGAAUCAAUUAUGGUACCACAAAUCCCAGAGGUAAGAUUACUACCUCAAAUUGCUGCCUUAGCUAGGCAAUCACACAUAAUGGUUGAAAUAAGUCCACGGAAAAAACCUCGUAAACAGCUACUCCCUGUUAAUCAGGAAGAUAGUCCGUUUAAAAUAGUUGGUGAUGAUAUGGAGUAUGUGGAUGAGAAAUUAUUGAAAAUUGAUAAAUCUGAUGAUUUUCCUGAAGAUGAUUUAAUUUGUAAUGAUGAUUUAAUUGAUGGUGAUGCUGAGGAUGAAGCCGAAGAUGAUUUGGAUGAUAUGGAUGUUGAUGAUGAUUGUCCAGCAGAUGAUGAUUAUGAUGAUGAUGAUGAUGAUUUUGGGAAUGAUUUUGGAGAUGAUUUUGAUUAUGUUAAAUCAGAUAAAACAUUCUUCGAAGAUGUUAAAACAUCAGUAGAAGUUAGUGAUGAAAGUUCAGCUUGCAUUAAACCUAAAAAUAAACGACCAACAUUAUUGGGUAGUUAUAAGAAUACGUGGCGGGGGCACACUCACCAUUUUCAAAGGUACACUGAUUUUAAAAUUAAAGAAACCAAAAAGCAAUUAGCUGAUAUGCAGCAAGCAAAAAAAUGGACGUCAGAUAGCAUAUCAGGAUGGAGAGUUCGGCACUUACUAAAUCAAUUCGAUGGAAUGAUAAAUAUCGAAGAAGAAAUUAUUGGAAAAAUGACUGAACUUAUAUCUGAAUUUGAAGCAAAUAUUAAAGAUACUAGGACAUGCCAUACUAUUGUUGAGCUCAUUAAAGAUAAUAUUCAAAGGAGCAAAGUGUCGAAAAGUCAAUUAGAGGAAAUUAGACAGCAAUUAAAAAAAAUUUUUGACUAUAAAACAUUAAUUGAUGAUGUGGUUGAUAAACAUUGUCCCAAAGACCUUAAAAAGAAAUAUGCAAAAGUAUUAACUAUUAGCAAAUCUUAGACGAUAUGUAUUGUCAAUAAGAAUAUUUUGAUUUACACUGCACACAUAUGCAAGAAAUACCCAGCGAAGUGUUUUUGUUGCAAGUACAUUAUGGUGUAAAAAUAUGGUUUUCCAGCUUCGAUAAAAACUGUGAAUAUGACUAGUGAACCAGUAGAAGAUUUGUUUAUGUUGUUCAACUGGUUUUGUAAUUUAAGAUAUAUAUGAUUCUGAACAAUGGCAUGGUCACAUAUUCUGUAGCUGGACAUCUUUGAAGCUCAGGUUAUGGUCCUUUUUGGCGUUCUUAAUAUAUAAAUUACCUAUUAGAAAUAUAAUUGAAUUAGAUGGCCGGUUCAAGUAAAUUAAUUAAUAUUUUCAUGGUUUAUGUUACCUUUUAUUAUCGAGAAAUAUUGAUUUAUACAGCUCAAAACUUAUCAUUGGUGGUUUUAUGGCACUGUUUUUCAUCAGAAACUUGCAACCCGAAUUUGUAUAUAUUAAAUUAUUUAUUUUUCUAACUUGAAAUAUUUUAUUUCACAUUAAUUAGCUAUUAAAAUUAUUUGUUUUGAUGUCAUUAACUUUGUUAAUUUAUAUUAUUUUUUUUAUAAUUAUUGAAAUCCUAAUAUGAUUUGUUUAUAUUUGAACGGUAUUUUUUGUUCCUGGAAAAUUGAUACGAGGUAUUGCUGUAAGUUUCAAAAAUGUAUCUUGUGAUUUCUAAAUGUUUGAUUUUUAUAAAAUAUUUGAUUCUCAGAAAUUCCUGUAAUCAUUCCGGAUAUGAUAUUUAACUACAGAUAUAUUUUAUUAAAUUAAAAAGCAGAUACAUUUCAAAUUGUGUUGAUAUGGAAAUGGAUGGAAACGGCUGUUCUAUUCAAUGCCUGAAAAUAAUGAAGUGAAGUCGACCUAGUCCAUUGAAACCCUACACUUAGAGAACCCAUCCAGCAGUACUCUUUGAACUAUUUUGGGUCGUUAGUACUGUAUGGUAGAAGUUUAAAUUCAACGGAAUCUAAUUUUGAAAUUUUCUAAUUUGUAUCAUUUGUAUCUGUUUUGUUGUUGCAUAUGUUUAAUAUGGAACUGUGUAUGAAUACGUAUAUUUUUUAAAUCAACAUGUAUUAUAAUGUAUGUAAAGUGACCCAAAAAUUUGUGUUCAAGUUUAUGUAUUUUUGUGUGUGUGUACAUGUGUGUGUAUAUAUUGUUAUAUGCGUUUGGUGAUUUAGAAUCUACACGCUUUGUGAAUAAAGUUUGGCUAUUUCUACAAUUAAAA